GUGCACAUUUCAUCCUUUUUUCUUGGUGUCAAGAAAAAAGAUAUUUCUGAUGUGCUAAACAAACAUUGGAGGAAAAUUAGCAGCAUGACUGAUUUAGCCAUUGCUGUCAGUCACCUUCAGACAAAU